rnacentral:tRNA from 1 species
AAGAUUUUAAGUUAAAUAAACUAAAAGCCUUCAAAGCUUCAAAUAAAAUAAUAUAUUUUAAAUCUUA